rnacentral:rRNA from 1 species
AGACGGGUGAGUAAUACAUAGGUAACCUGCCUUUUAGUUUGGGAUAGCAAUUAGAAAUGAUUGGUAAUACCGAAUAAUAUAUAUGUAGAUAACUAUAUAUAUUAAAAGGAGCUUCGGCUCCGCUUUAAGAUGGGCUUAUGUUGUAUUAGCUAGUUGGUGAGGUAAUGGCUCACCAAGGCGACGAUGCAUAUCCGAGUCGAGAGGCUGAUCGGACACACUGGGACUGAGACACGGCCCAGACUCCUACGGGAGACAGCAGUUAGGAAUAUUCGACAAUGGGGGAAACCCUGAUCGAGCAAUGCCGCGUGAGUGAUGACGGUCCAUAGGACUGUAAAGCUCUGUUAUAGGGGAAGAACAACCAUUAUAGGAAAUGAUGAUGGUCUGACGGUACCCUAUCAGAAAGCCCCGGCUAACUACGUGCCAGCAGCCGCGGUAAUACGUAGGGGGCGAGCGUUAUCCGGAUUUAUUGGGCGUAAAG